rnacentral:rRNA from 1 species
UACGUAGGGGGCGAGCGUUACCCGGAUUCAUUGGGCGUAAAGCGCGUGUAGGCGGCUGGCCAAGUGUGGCGUGAAAUCUCUCGGCUCAACCGAGAAACUGCGUUGCAAACUGGUCUGGCUAGAGUGCAGGAGAGGGUAGUGGAAUUCCCGGUGUAGCGGUGAAAUGCGUAGAUAUCGGAAGGAACACCAGUGGCGAAAGCGGCUUCCUGGUCCAGCACCGACGUUCAGGCACGAAAGCGUGGGGAGCAAACAGG